AGCGAACGCUGGCGGCAGGCCUAACACAUGCAAGUCGAACGAACCUUUCGGGGUUAGUGGCGGACGGGUGAGUAACACGUGGGAACGUGCCUUUAGGUUCGGAAUAACUCAGGGAAACUUGUGCUAAUACCGAAUGUGCCCUUCGGGGGAAAGAUUUAUCGCCUUUAGAGCGGCCCGCGUCUGAUUAGCUAGUUGGUUGAGGUAAUGGCUCACCAAGGCGACGAUCAGUAGCUGGUCUGAGAGGAUGAUCAGCCGCAUUGGGACUGAGACACGGCCCAAACUCCUACGGGAAGCAGCAGUGGGGAAUCUUGCGCAAUGGGCGAAAGCCUGACGCAGCCAUGCCGCGUGAAUGAUGAAGGUCUUAGGAUUGUAAAAUUCUUUCACCGGGGACGAUAAUGACGGUACCCGGAGAAGAAGCCCCGGCUAACUUCGUG
rnacentral:rRNA from 1 species